rnacentral:tRNA from 1 species
UCCCAAGUGGUCUAGUGGUUAGGAUUCCACGCUCUCACCGAGGCGGCCGGGGUUCGAUUCCCCGCUUGGGAA